rnacentral:lncRNA from 1 species
UCCAUGGAAGAGGAGGUCCUGACCCAUUCAUGUCUGAUCAAUGGGUCAAGAUCAAGGGCAGUGGCCUGUCCUGGUCUAUGGCCCUGUGAAGUCAGAGGCCCAGUGACAUAGCUGGUCCACUGUCAGGACAGUCUGAACAGCUGAGGUUACCAUGAACUCCCCGUUCACCAGGCGUUUCUCUCCUAAGUUAAACAAGCUAUGACCAAGCAAGUGGACUCUGUCAACAGUAAGAACCCAUCUGUUACUACUCACCACUUACGGACAGCGACUUGUCCUAGGUAAUGGGGUUGGUGAGUCACAGAGCCAGGGAUAAACACAGGCUGUCCAGCUCAGCAGAAGAUAAACGAUUGAAACUUGGAGCCCUGGUCAAACUGAGCUUUGUAAACACUCACUCACCAUCUUCCUCCGAUGCUCCCGAGCUGUGAACCAGAUGUGUCUCUGCUCUGAAGGAACCAGAAUCAGUUUUCCAACCACAUCUCCUUAAAUUCCCAAACAAGGACAUGAAGAAGUGAUUCAGUGAGGGGACACCGUCUGGGAUAUUGACCACUAACUGUAAGCGAGGUCAAGCCAUAUUCCCAACAUUUUGUAUGCAUUACCUCAUCGAACCCUCAUAACUCUUUGAGGCAGCAAAAUUAUAAUCCCAUUGUACAGAUAAAUAAAACCAAUAUAUGGAGAAGUUAAGUAACUUCC